UGCAGUAGUUUGGGGAGUUCCCGCGGGUUCACUCUGUUCAGCAGCUGCACGAGCUCUGACUGCGCGGCGGGAACAUCCAUCUCCACCCCGAGGACGGAUCGAUGGGACGGAUCGAUGGGACGGAUCGAUGGGACGGAUCAGGAUCAGAUCAGAUCCGCUCUGCAGGGCUGCAGCAGGAACGUGUCUGUGGUUUUAAGGUGGACCCUGCAGACUCCCAGCAGCUGCUGGUCCGUCCGGAACCUCUGCUGGUCCGUCCGGAACCUGCUCCGGUGAGAACACCGACAGUCUGAACGCAGACGGAACCGGUUGAAGACGAUAAGAUUCAGAAUCCCGCUGCUCUUCCGGAUCCUUCAGACCACCUUAAGAGGACAAACAGACCCCGGAAGCAGUGGCAGUAAUGAGUCUCCAGCUGCCGUUAAAUGGACAGAAGAAGAAGUCCGACGACGACGAUGAGAAGUGUUUCCGGGUCAGUUCGGAUUAGAUGACGUUUCUCUGGAGAGUUUCGGUGUUUUCCGUUUGAUCAACGUCACCAACGGUCGGUAAGAAACAGCCGUUAUUCUCCGUUUAACUCUAAAUAACGUUAAUCUCCCCUUUACUGACCGUUACUGACCGUUACUGACCGUUACUGACCGUACACACCGUACACACCGUACACACACACACCGUACACACCGUACACACACACACACCGUACACACCGUACACACACACACACACCGUACACACCGUACACACACACACCGUACACACACACACCGCACACACACACACCGCACACACCGUACACACACACACACACACACACCGUACACACACACACACACACCGUACACACACCGUACACACACACACACACCCUACACACACACACACCGUACACACACACCGCACACACACACACGCACACACACCGUACACACACACACACACCGUACACACCGUACACACACACCGCACACACACACACACACACGCACACACACCGUACACACACACACACACACACACACACACACAUAGUACACACACACACACACACCGUACACACACACACACACACUGUACACACACACACACACACACACACACCGUACACACACACACACACACGGUACACACACACACACACACACACACCGUACACACACACCGCACACACACUGUACACACACACACACACACCGUACACACACACACACACACCGCACACACACACACGCACACACACCGCACACACACUGUACACACACGCACACACACUGUACACACACACACACACACGCACACACACACACAAAAUACACACACACACACACACAAUAUACACACACACACACACACAAUACAAUAUACACANNNNNNNNNNNNNNNNNNNNNNNNNNNNNNNNNNNNNNNNNNNNNNNNNNNNNNNNNNNNNNNNNNNNNNNNNNNNNNNNNNNNNNNNNNNNNNNNNNNNUAUACCAGGGUCUGCUGGUAUAACUUUAUUUAUGGACUUUAUAGAACUGAUUUAUAUAUUUACUUAUUUAUUUGUUCAUGCAGGUCCAGUGAAGCAACGUCAUAAAUGUGGUGAUGAUGACGAGGUCAAAGAAGACACGAAGAGGCAGAAUCACUACUGAAAUUCUGCUGAAAAUGAGAACACAGAGGAGUCAAAAGUCUUUAAUUCUUAGGGAGAAUGAAAAGACAAAAGGAGUCCAGACACUGGUGGUGAUGGCUGAUGACUGCUGAAAGCAUCCUAAUAAAAAGACACAGCCAUAAAAUGAUGGCUUAUGAUGCAGGUGUGUCACUAUGCUAUUGGACAGAUGUGGCCAGCUGAUGAGAACAGCUGUUAUCAUUGACAGCAUGGAAAUUAGGAGUGAGGUGAGUGACUGUAUGGAUUCAUUGUUUCCUCAACCUGGACCCGGAUCAUAUUUAAUCUUUGCACCUCCUCAUCCGCACCUGUAGCAACUCACCAAUGAAGGUGCUUGUGCUAUUUUCUAUCUGAACAUAAAGUACAGUUUACUGUGGGUCUGAUCAACAGGUAGCAUUUAUGAUCUAUGACUAAAUCCUCAAACAUAGUUCAGUAUGAAAACUAGGAUAAUUAAUUAAUGGAGUGCAAUAUAAGCACUGAGUUGUGAACUCUAUAGAGUGUGGCAGCCAAUGACUGUAGAAUUUUAAACACACCUCAUAAAAACACAAAAAGCAAAUGAUAAAACAAUACAGAAUCCUGUAGCACUAGCUGUAUGUGUAUGUUUUUAGAUUCAGAUUUUUGAAUGUCAUUUAAUCUUUUAUAAACAUUUGUCAUCUAAAUUCCGAGAGGUUUUUGUUGUCGGAUGCAGAUGUGGCACAUAAUUGGAAAUAUAACAAUAAACAAUAUACAUAAUAUAAUACAAUGUAACAUAAUACUAACAACAAAAAGCAGCUCAAAUAAAUGGAAUACUUACAAAUAAUGCUUCAAUGAGAACACUUGUGGAUGACACACAGCCUCACAGCCAGAUCGGUGCCACAGAAGUUACUCAACAGUUACUGGACAGAUGGAAUUAUUUGUUAUAAUUAAGUUAAUGUUUAAACUGGACAGAAAACCUACCAGUGAAACUUUACUUUGUCCUUCAGCCACCACGAUAUUUCAACCUAGCUUGCAUCUGAUAUCAAAAUUGAUCAUUUAAUGUGAUUUAACACAGACUAAAUUCAACAAAAAAAAUCAUAUAACUUGUUAGCUGCAAUAACUUGAAUACUUACAAAUAAUGCUUCAACAAUAAUGUGUACAAAGU
rnacentral:lncRNA from 15 species